AGAACUCGCUGCCACCUGGAGUCUGACUCUAAGCAUGAAAAUGGUGCUCACGCCUGUCGCCCCAGCACAGUCUGCACGCGCCCGUUGUAGGGGAUCUGACUGUUUAGAGAGCAGCUG